UUGACCUCGGAUCAGGUAGGGAUACCCGCUGAACUUAAGCAUAUCAAUAAGCGGAGGAAAAGAAACCAACAGGGAUUGCCUCAGUAACUGCGAGUGAAGCGGCAAAAGCUCAAAUUUGAAAUCUGGCGUCUCUGGCGUCCGAAUUGUAAUUUGGAGAGGCAACUUCGGUGAUGGCGCCGUCCUAAGUUCCUUGGAACAGGAUGACACAGAGGGUGAGAUCCCCGUACCUGGGUGGCUGUCCAUCGCCAUGUGAAGUGUCUUCGACGAGUCGAGUUGUUUGGGAAUGCAGCUCAAAAUGGGUGGUAAAUUUCAUCUAAAGCUAAAUAUUGGCGAGAGACCGAUAGCGCACAAGUAGAGUGAUCGAAAGAUGAAAAGCACUUUGAAAAGAGAGUUAAAAAGUACGUGAAAUUGUUGAAAGGGAAGCGCUUGAGACCAGACUCGAUUYGUGGUGAUCAGCUGUGCUUCUGUGCAGUGCACUUGCCAUGGAUYGGGCCAGCAUCGGUUCCGACGGUGGGAUAAAAGGUUAAGGAAUGUAGCUUCCUUCGGGGAGUGUUAUAGCCUCAGCCAUAAUGCCACCAGUUGGGACCGAGGACCGCGCUCCGGCUAGGAUGCUGGCGUAAUGGUCUUAAGCGACCCGUCUUGAAACACGGACC
rnacentral:rRNA from 1 species